AACGAACGCUGGCGGCAGGCUUAACACAUGCAAGUCGAACGCCCCGCAAGGGGAGUGGCAGACGGGUGAGUAACGCGUGGGAACAUACCCUUUCCUGCGGAAUAGCUCUGGGAAACUGGAAUUAAUACCGCAUACGCCCUACGGGGGAAAGAUUUAUCGGGGAAGGAUUGGCCCGCGUGGGAUUAGCUAGUUGGUGGGGUAAAGGCCUACCAAGGCGACGAUCCAUAGCUGGUCUGAGAGGAUGAUCAGCCACAUUGGGACUGAGACACGGCCCAAACUCCUACGGGAGGCAGCAGUGGGGAAUAUUGGACAAUGGGCGCAAGCCUGAUCCAGCCAUGCCGCGUGAGUGAUGAAGGCCUUAGGGUUGUAAAGCUCUUUCACCGAUGAAGGUAAUGACGGUAGUCGGAGAAGAAGCCCCGGCUAACUUCGUGCCAGCAGCCGCAGUAAAAC
rnacentral:rRNA from 1 species